GAGACAGAGUGGCAAUGAGUGCUGUGUGUAGCAUUGUGUUGGAGCUGCAAUCCAUUCUAAAUGAAGUGUAUCACCGAGGCAGAAAGGGAAAGGAAAAAUACAAUGGCUGUCACCAUGCCAAUUGACCAGGAAUGAAAAUAUCCAGGAUUACUUCAAUAUCUAUGUGAUUUUUUUUUUUAAAUGAGAAGAAUUUGUAGUUUCUACAAUGAUUGGGAUUUUUUUUUUAAAUCCAGGAACCGCGGUUCCCUCGACCUGAAGGCAGGAGUGCAUCAUUUCACUUGUUUCCUACGUUAGUGUUCUCAGCACCGUUUGAUGCAGGAUUUUGGAUUGUGGUGGUCAUUGUAUCAACACCCUCGCGUAAUAUAUGUUGGAAGGAACUGCGGAUGCUGAUUUAAACCGAAGACAGACACAAAAUAAGCUGGAGUAACUCAGCGGGUCAGGCAGCAUCUCUGGAGAAACGGAAUAGGUGACGUUUCGGGUCGAGACCCUUCUUCAGAUUCUGUUAAUGGGGGAAAAAAAUUACAUCUCAGAAUUUUUCUUGUUGGAUUGGAAUCGUUUUCAUUUGGAGACGGUAGCAUGGUUUUUUUUUUCAGCAAAAAAAUGUCAUGGUCAGUGCAGCGUGGAUACAAUCUGAAUCAAUGGAUUACACUAUUACCAAGAUGUGUUCUCUCGGGGGAAAAUAAGUGGAAUAUGUUACAAGCUUUUGGAUGCUUCUGUCAUUUGGUUCAACAUCGCCAGUGAAUGGGUUGCAUUGGAUAUCCGAGGAUAUAUUGUAUCCAGAUGAUGUAUUGAAAAGCCUGGGAUGUAUACAGGAUACCCUGUGGAUUUAAUCUCGGAAUAACAAAACUGUAUUUUGCCACCUUUGGAAUGGGCUUGGUAAAAGGUACAUUGCUGUUUGACCUCAACUAAUGUGACAACGGACAUCCAAUUGAAAUGGUUAUUUCACAUGCAAGACCACCCCUGCAAAGGCCUUCAUAAGAUUGCUGCUCCUCAAUGAUAGAGGUCUUGGCCGUCAAUCGUGGCACAGUGGGCAGCGACCGCUUAAUAAUGAAAGCUGAAACUCGAUCUGCACUCCAGAAUAUCCAAAACGAACACCACAACAACGUCAAAAAAAUCAUUUCAACACCUCCUCAUUUUGACCUCCAUCUGCUCAGCUUUAUAAAAUGCCCGAGCUUAACUCUGCAAUGGACACCGUUUCCAAUGCAACAAACUUACUGGGAACAUGUCAGAUGAACAAAACCUGCUCAAAGUAGAACGAUCUCAGCAAAGGUUUCCUUGAACGGAGUUCAAAAUUUUAUAGGAUUUCAACAAUUAAAAAAUAAAUUAAUUUUUCUCCAAUGUUAAGGUCACCAAGCAGAAAUUCUGCAAGGAAAUUACACAUUUGUGUCAAUGAAACUUAAAUCUGAUGUGAUUUGCUUUUUGAAAUGAAUUAGAUCUAUUUAUGGGCAUAGCAAGUACAUUGAAUUUUGAACAAAAAUGA